CCUACGGGUGGCAGCAGUGGGGAAUAUUGCACAAUGGGGGAAACCCUGAUGCAGCGACGCCGCGUGAGUGAAGAAGUAAUUCGUUACGUAAAGCUCUAUCAGCAGGGAAGAAACACUGACCUUACGGUCAGCAGACGGUACCUGAGUAAGAAGCCCCGGCUAACUACGUGCCAGCAGCCGCGGUAAUACGUAGGGGGCAAGCGUUAUCCGGAUUUACUGGGUGUAAAGGGAGCGUAGACGGUGAGGCAAGUCAGGAGUGAAAUGCCGCAGCUUAACUGCGGAACUGCGUUGGAAACUGGCGAGCUAGAGUGCAGGAGAGGUAAGCGGAAUUCCUAGUGUAGCGGUGAAAUGCGUAGAUAUUAGGAGGAACACCGGUGGCGAAGGCGGCUUACUGGACCGUAACUGACGUUGAGGCUCGAAAGCGUGGGGAGCAAACAGGAUUAGAUACCCCAGUAGUC
rnacentral:rRNA from 1 species